rnacentral:tRNA from 1 species
GUUAUUUUGGCAGAAAAGUGUAUUAGAUUUAGGAUCUUUUUAUGUAAUUUUAAAUUACAAAUAAUA